GGCGAACGGGUGAGUAACACAUCGGAACGUACCCAGGAGUGGGGGACAACCUCGAGAAAUCGAGGCUAAUACCGCAUACGUCCUGAGGGAGAAGGCGGGGGAUUCGCAAGGACCUCGCGCUCAUGGAUCGGCCGAUGCCGGAUUAGCUAGUUGGUGGGGUAAUAGCCCACCAAGGCUACGAUCCGUAGCUGGUUUGAGAGAACGACCAGCCACACUGGGACUGAGACACGGCCCAG
rnacentral:rRNA from 1 species